rnacentral:rRNA from 1 species
GGUGAACGCUAGCGGUGCGCCUAACACAUGCAAGUCGAGCGGUAGAAGAAUGUAGCUUGCUAUAUUCUUUGAGAGCGGCGAACGGGUGAGUAACACGUUGGUACAUGCCCCCAACGUCAGGGAUAGCCAUUGGAAACGAUGAUUAAUACCGGAUGUGCUCUUCGGAGUAAAGAUUUAUCGCUUGGGGAGUGGCCUGCGUCCUAUCAGCUUGUUGGUGAGGUAAUAGCUCACCAAGGCUAUGACGGGUAACUGGUCUGAGAGGACGACCAGUCACAAUGAAACUGAGACACGGUUCAUACUCCUACGGGAGGCAGCAGUGAGGAAUCUUCCACAAUGGACGAAAGUCUGAUGGAGCGACACCGCGUGAAGGAUGAAGGCCUAACGGUUGUAAACUUCUUUUCUGAGGGAGCAUAAUGAGAGUACCUCAGGAAUAAGGGACGGCUAAAUACGUG